rnacentral:ncRNA from 1 species
CUGCAACGACAGGGGAGCGCCCCGUCGUCGGCCCGGCCGCGAUUGGCCGAUGGGUCGCCGCCGACGGCGCUGAGAGUGCGGAAGCCCGCAGACCCUCGAACCUGCUCCGGUUAGCACCGGCGAAGGAAGUCGAGACCAUCUCCCC